GCUUGUCUCAAAGAUUAAGCCAUGCAUGUCUAAGUAUAAGCCUUUGUACGGCGAAACUGCGAAUGGCUCAUUAAAACAGUUAUAGUUUAUUCGAUAAUCAAUUGCUACAUGGAUAACUGUAGUAAUUCUAGAGCUAAUACAUGCGUCAGAACCCAACUUUACGGAAGGGUCGUGUUUAUUAGAUACAAAACCAACAUCUCGUUGGUGAUUCAUAAUAACCGAACGAAUCGUAUGGCAUCAGCUGGCGAUGAAUCAUUCAAGUUUCUGACCUAUCAGCUUCCGACGGUAGGGUAUUGGCCUACCGUGGCAAUGACGGGUAACGGAGAAUUAGGGUUCGAUUCCGGAGAGGGAGCCUGAGAAACGGCUACCACAUCUAAGGAAGGCAGCAGG
rnacentral:rRNA from 1 species